UACGUAGGGGGCUAGCGUUGUCCGGAAUCAUUGGGCGUAAAGAGCGUGUAGGCGGUCCGGUAAGUCCGCUGUGAAAGUCGGGGGCUCAACCCUCGAAUGCCGGUGGAUACUGUCGGGCUAGAGUCCGGAAGAGGCAAGUGGAAUUCCCGGUGUAGCGGUGAAAUGCGCAGAUAUCGGGAGGAACACCUAUGGCGAAGGCAGCUUGCUGGGACGGUACUGACGCUGAGACGCGAAAGCGUGGGGAGCAAACAGG
rnacentral:rRNA from 1 species